CCUACGGGAGGCAGCAGUGGGGAAUAUUGCACAAUGGGGGGAACCCUGAUGCAGCAACGCCGCGUGGGUGAAGAAGUACUCCGGUAUGUAAAGCCCUGUCAGCAGGGAAGAAAAUGACGGUACCUGAGUAAGAAGCCCCGGCUAACUACGUGCCAGCAGCCGCGGUAAUACGUAGGGGGCAAGCGUUAUCCGGAUUUACUGGGUGUAAAGGGAGCGUAGACGGCAGUGCAAGUCUGGAGUGAAAGGCGGGGGCUCAACCCCCGGACUGCUCUGGAAACUGUACGGCUGGAGUGCAGGAGAGGUAAGUGGAAUUCCUAGUGUAGCGGUGAAAUGCGUAGAUAUUAGGAGGAACACCAGUGGCGAAGGCGGCUUACUGGACUGUAACUGACGUUGAGGCUCGAAAGCGUGGGGAGCAAACAGGAUUAGAUACCCGAGUAGUC
rnacentral:rRNA from 1 species